UGGCGACCGGCGCACGGGUGAGUAACACGUAUCCAACCUGCCGAUGACUCGGGGAUAGCCUUUCGAAAGAAAGAUUAAUACCCGAUGGCAUAGUUCUUCCGCAUGGUGGAACUAUUAAAGAAUUUCGGUCAUCGAUGGGGAUGCGUUCCAUUAGGUUGUUGGCGGGGUAACGGCCCACCAAGCCUUCGAUGGAUAGGGGUUCUGAGAGGAAGGUCCCCCACAUUGGAACUGAGACACGGUCCAAACUCCUACGGGAGGCAGCAUG
rnacentral:rRNA from 1 species